rnacentral:rRNA from 1 species
GCAUAUCAAUAAGCGAGGAAAAGAAACCAACAGGGAUUGCCCCAGUAACGGCGAGUGAAGCGGCAAAAGCUCAAAUUUGAAAUCUGGCUCCUUUCGGGGUCCGAGUUGUAAUUUGAAGAGGAUGCUUUGGGUGCGUCCGCGGCGUAAGUCCCUUGGAACAGGGCGUCAUAGAGGGUGAGAAUCCCGUCUUGAGUCGCCGGCGCGCGCCCGUUUAAAGCUCCUUCGACGAGUCGAGUUGUUUGGGAAUGCAGCUCUAAGUGGGUGGUAAAUUUCAUCUAAAGCUAAAUAUUGGCCGGAGACCGAUAGCGAACAAGUAGAGUGAUCGAAAGGUUAAAAGCACCUUGAAAAGGGAGUUAAAUAGCACGUGAAAUUGUUGAAAGGGAAGCGCUUGCAGCCAGACUCGGGUUCGGAGGCUCAGCGGGUAUUGUUAUGCCCGUGCACUCCUCCGCACCCGGGCCAGCAUCAGUUUUGGCGGCCGGUCAAAGGCCCCCGGAAUGUGUCGUCCUCCGGGACGUCUUAUAGCCGGGGGUGCAAUGCGGCCAGCCGGGACUGAGGAACGCGCUUCGGCACGGAUGCUGGCGUAAUGGCUGUAAGCGGCCCGUCUUGAAACACGGACCAAGGAGUCUAACAUCCACGCGAGUGUUCGGGUGUCAAACCCGUACGCGCAGUGAAAGCGAACGGAGGUGAGAGCCCCUUCGGGGGCGCAUCAUCGACCGAUCCUGAAGUCUUCGGAUGGAUUUGAGUAAGAGCGUGGCUGUUGGGACCCGAAAGAUGGUGAACUAUGCCUGAAUAGGGUGAAGCCAGGAGAAAUUCUGGUGGAGGCUCGCAGCGGUUCUGACGUGCAAAUCGAUCGUCAAAUUUGGGUAUAGGGGCGAAAGACUAAUCGAACCAUCUGGUAGCUGGUUCCUGCG